rnacentral:rRNA from 1 species
UGGGGAAUUUUGGACAAUGGGGGAAACCCUGAUCCAGCCAUCCCGCGUGUGCGAUGAAGGCCUUCGGGUUGUAAAGCACUUUUGGCAGGAAAGAAACGGCGCUGGAUAAUACCUGGCGCAACUGACGGUACCUGCAGAAUAAGCACCGGCUAACUACGUGCCAGCAGCCGCGGUAAUACGUAGGGUGCAAGCGUUAAUCGGAAUUACUGGGCGUAAAGCGUGCGCAGGCGGUUCGGAAAGAAAGAUGUGAAAUCCCAGGGCUUAACCUUGGAACUGCAUUUUUAACUACCGAGCUAGAGUAUGUCAGAGGGGGGUGGAAUUCCACGUGUAGCAGUGAAAUGCGUAGAUAUGUGGAGGAACACCGAUGGCGAAGGCAGCCCCCUGGGAUAAUACUGACGCUCAUGCACGAAAGCGUGGGGAGCAAACAG